UACGUAGGCAGCGAGCGUUGUUCGGAUUUACUGGGCGUAAAGGGUGUGUAGGCGGUUAUUUAAGUUUGGUGUGAAAUCUCCCGGCUCAACCGGGAGGGUGCGCCGAAUACUGAAUGACUUCGAGUGCGGGAGAGGAGAGUGGAAUUCCUGGUGUAGCGGUGAAAUGCGCAGAUAUCAGGAGGAACACCUAUUGCGAAGGCAGCUCGCUGGGACGUAACUGACGCUGAGACGCGAAAGCGUGGGGAGCAAACAGG
rnacentral:rRNA from 1 species